rnacentral:rRNA from 1 species
CCUACGGGAGGCAGCAGUCGAGAAUCUUUCACAAUGGGGGAAACCCUGAUGGUGCGAAGCCGCGUGGGGGAAUGAAGGUCUUCGGAUUGUAAACCCCUGUCAUGUGGGAGCAAAUUAAAAAGAUAGUACCACAAGAGGAAGAGACGGAUAACUCGGUGCCAGCAGCCGCGGUAAUACAGAGGUCUCAAGCGUUGUUCGGAAUCACUGGGCGUAAAGCGUGCGUAGGCUGUUUCGGAAGUCGUGUGUGAAAGGGGCGGGCUCAACCCUCGGACGGCGCAUGAUACUGCGAGACUAGAGUGAUGUAGGGGGAAGCGGAAUUCGCGGUGUAGCAGUGAAAUGCGUAGAUAUCAAGAGGAACACUCGUGGCGAAGGCGGGUUCCUGGACAGUAACUGACGCUGAGGCACGAAGGUCAGGGGAGCGAAAGGGAUUAGAUACCCGGGUAGUC